rnacentral:rRNA from 1 species
AUUGAACGCUGGCGGCAGGCCUAACACAUGCAAGUCGAGCGGAUGAAGGGAGCUUGCUCCUGGAUUCAGCGGCGGACGGGUGAGUAAUGCCUAGGAAUCUGCCUGGUAGUGGGGGAUAACGUCCGGAAACGGGCGCUAAUACCGCAUACGUCCUGAGGUAGAAAGUGGGGGAUCUUCGGACCUCACGCUAUCAGAUGAGCCUAGGUCGUAUUAGCUAGUUGGUAGGGUAAAGGCCUACCAAGGCGACGACCCGUAACUGGUCUGAGAGGAUGAUCAGUCACACUGGAACUGAGACACGGUCCAGACUCCUACGGGAGGCAGCAGUGGGGAAUAUUGGACAAUGGGCGAAAGCCUGAUCCAGCCAUGCCGCGUGUGUGAAGAAGGUCUUCGGAUUGUAAAGCACUUUAAGUUGGGAGGAAGGGCAGUAAGUUAAUACCUUGCUGUUUUGACGUUACCAAAAGAAUAAGCACCGGCUAACUUCGUG